UUUUAGCGAUCAACUCAUAUAUUUGCAUUUUCCAAGCAUAGGAACUAUCUGGUCCCGAAGCUUCAUGAAUUAGUACUUUUUUAUUCUAUAAUGAUCUAUAAAUAAAAAUAUACUUGAAAAUUACAUUCUUCAUUGUCUACUAUGGUAUUUUGACACUCUUAGGUAUUACUUCUUGUAAAUUGCCUAUUUCUCGAAAUCAGUUGGUCUAGAUAAGUACAGAACGGAUGCAUGUGACUUUCGGCAUUCAGUUUUAACCAUAGCUUUAACCAAUAAAACGUGGCUCCAUCUACCAAAAAUUAUACCAUUAAUUCACAAUAAAGAGGAUUUGUCAUAUGUAUUCAAAACCAUGUGAGUACCUAACAAAUGCAUGUGACUUUUACUACAUAUAACUUAACAUAGAUGAUAAAAUGCAAAAAAAUAAAUUGUUUGGGUGAAAUAAAAUUACUCAAAGGUGCAUAGGAGAAUUUUAUAUAGAAUAAGAUUUUAUUGAAGUCUAAUGACACCGCUUAUUCUGUGACACACGCGAGUGAUAUCUGAAUAGAAAGGUAUUUUCAAAAUAUUUUUAUACUUGAAUCUCAAAAUAAAGUUGCACGCACACUAACCCUUACUUUUUUCGAGACAUCUUGUUACCAAAUUUUAUACUCUAGUUUGGAACAUCUAUAAUGACUGCAAAAAAAGUUAAGACAAAUAAAAAAAAAUACAUCAUAGUAAAAUACAUGAAAUAUAUAUAUAGUUCAAUAUACUGAUGCGGAACUCCAUUAAAUAAUUUAGAUAGGUAUUCACAAAGAUAUGGUCGAAAUUUCAGCAUCACCAAUUUACUUAUUUUAGCCAUUUAUGUGCAAAUAACUUAGUAAAAAUAAUAGUGAAAACAAACUUAUUUUUAUUACAUGAAAAUAUAGAUUCACUUAUGUAAUUCUACACGAACAUUAAUUUAUUGAUUUGUGCAAGAAUGAAUAUAUCUUGAAGUAAAACCUUACUAACAGAGCGGAAUUGUCCAACGAAAAAUUACUAAAAUACAUAAAUUAUAGUUAAAACAAUAACUUUUGAAGUGGAAGUUGUAUGUUGUGCUAAGAAUAGCCAUACAUGCAAACUGUUUUUUUCAGUCCAGCAAUUUCAUCGGUUGGAAAAGAAAAUGAAAUAAAGUGACUCAUAUGUCCACAUAAGAAUUCUCUACUAACCAAACUAUAGAUAUUCAAACACCUAUGAGUGGUCGAUCUCACCUCGUUCUCUGUUGCAAUGGACUAUAACAUCACCAAGUCCUUGCAAAACUGAAAAAGAAAAUUCUCAUAAUCGGUGUGCUCAUAUAGCCAAGUAGCAAAGUAUUAGAAAAAUAUAUAAAUUCACAAUAUAGAAACCGAGGAGUAAAUUAUAUACACAUAUCUUUGGAUUCCAGCAUAGUUCGUAUAUGUGGACAUCAUACAAUUGUAGUCAAAAUGAAGUAGAGUAUUUGCAGGGCCAAAUUCUUCUUGAGUACUUUCAUCCAGUAUGUUCCGUUUAGAAUGGGGCUGCCUCAGUCUUGAGCAGUUUCUCAUAUUUGUUUUUGGGCGAGAAGAACAAUUUCUCAUCUAAUACUGGAACAGGCUAGUGGUCAACUGCAAGCGGCCAUUUGCUGGGAAGUUGUGACCUGUGAGAUCGGGUUGGCAUGACUGGCUGCGAGACUAUUGUUGAUGCCGAGUACGCAAAGCAUGGGCAGUGUAGCAGUGGAUGUAUGUAUGCACGCUUGAUUUUUCGGUCGGAGUCAGAGAAAACAUGGGUGGCCGCCAUCGGCAUAGCACACAAUCUACGCGACACUGAAAGAUCAUGGAGAAGAGAUGGUUUCUUUGGCCAAUGUGAUGGUGAUCAAUUACGAUGAGACUUGAUCGAUCGGAAAGGAAGCUUUCUGCCUUGCACGUUUUUAGGAGACAAGCAAGGCAUUCCAGUUAAAAGAAAAGAGUUAAUUAAAAAAUUUCGGUUUUUACUACUUUUUUUGAGGAAUAUACGGAUACUAUGUUUUGUACUUUCACAAAUCUUGUUGCAUAAUACGUAAUAUCUUGUUGUAUGGUCCAGAGUUUAUAUAAAUUUAAGAUGUAAUGACUUGGGCCCAUCAAAUCAAUGGUUAGAGAGACGUGAGUAAGAUUUGUGAGAGAUUUUCUGGUUUGAAGAUACGUGAGAUUUUGGAAGAAG
rnacentral:lncRNA from 1 species